UCUGCCCCUUCACUCUCUUCUUUCCAGUAGAGGCGCGGCCCCUGUUCGUCCUCCAUAAAAACCAGCCGACCCCGUCAUUCAAUUCCAAUCGCCAUUUUCCCUCCUUCACCCAAUGGGACACACCCAGCCCCUUCCCUGGAGAAUCCAUCAAUGCUCGCUGCAAAGAGACCCAGUGAUUUAGCCAUCAAUCGAUGCUCCACUGAGCACCCAUCUUUCUGCUGGUGGAACCCUCCCGCCUUCACUCGCAACUGUUCAUCUGAAGCACAGCCAUUGACAGUCCUACAAUAUCCACAAAAGGACACUCCAUUCGGUGCCCAAGCCUAUAUACCAGAGAACUACCACGUGCUGCUCUGCUUGGCCGCCCAUCCUAAGAGGACAUAGCCAAAGCUAUACACCCAGUCCCAGAGUCAGACCCCAAAUUCACCACUUAUUAUUUGCAGUAAAUCCCCUUGACUAAUUUUCAGCGGAGGAACCAUAAAGUCUUGUGUCCUUCCGUAUAGAGUUGCCCCCUGUUUUGCUAUAUUAAUCUAGAGAUCGUUGAAUUCUGUGAAUAUUGCUUGUUAUGUUCGCGCUUGCCGUGAGGUGAAUCUCGGAGGAGAGAGUGGGGCGGCUAUGGAUAGAAGCUCCAGAGCGGUGUGCCAGGCAAAUGGGUGUGGAGCGCUGCAAACGGUGGAAGUAAAGAGAAAAGGAUUGAAACCGUGCAAUUCCAUAUCUUUUUAGACGAUCAUCUUUUUGUAAAAUUGUGCCUUCCAUGCAAGUUUGCUCAAGAGAACCGUUAUAUUCUCUAACUCAAGGCCGCAUAUCCUCUGACAUGUCCCGUUGAGAAGGCCGUCACCCCGCCACCUGCUACAAAGGGAAAGAAGGGCCUGACCUGUGAUGAAGGUUAAUUUUAACUUUUAUGUUAAGUGUCUUUGUUGGUUAUCAUCUUCUUAAAUUAAUAUGUUUUGCUUUGCAUUUGUUCAUCCUCUGUUGUUUCUGGAACAUGCUUCUUCCCUCCUGUAUGUCUUUGUAGUGCCAUACUUUUGUCAUCGAGAUAGUAUGUUGUCCAUAGUUCGAAACAAAAAAAUGUACAUGCUUAUUUUAAGGGGGUCAGUCUAAUACUACGACAGUCGGCACCAAUCCAUUUCAUUUAGUUCGAUUUUCGCUGAGCCUAUAAA